rnacentral:rRNA from 1 species
UAAUACGUAGGUGGCAAGCGUUGUCCGGAUUUAUUGGGUUUAAAGGGUGCGUAGGCGGUCCAUUAAGUCAGUGGUGAAAUACGGCAGCUUAACUGUCGAGGUGCCAUUGAUACUGGAGGACUUGAGUACAGACGAGGUAGGCGGAAUUGACGGUGUAGCGGUGAAAUGCUUAGAUAUCGUCAAGAACACCGAUAGCGAAGGCAGCUUACUAGACUGUAACUGACGCUGAGGCACGAAAGUGUGGGGAUCAAACAGG